rnacentral:rRNA from 1 species
AUUGAACGCUGGCGGCAGGCCUAACACAUGCAAGUCGAGCGGACGAAGGGAACUUGCUCCUGGAUUCAGUUGCCGACGGGCGGGUAAUGCCUAGGAAGCUGCCUGGCAGUGGGGGAUAACGUACCGACACGGGACCUAAUACCGCACCCGUUCUGAGUGUGAAAGUGGGGGUUCUUCAGACCUCACGCUAUCUGAUGAGACUAGGUCGGAUUAGCUAGUUGGUAGGGUAAAGGCUUACCAAGGCGACGAUCCGUAACUGAUCUGAGAGGGUGAUCAGUCACACUGGAACUGAGACACGGUCCAGACUCCUACGGGAGGCAGCAGUGGGGAAUAUUGCGCAAUGGGCGAAAGCCUGACGCAGCCAUGCCGCGUGUGUGAAGAAGGUCUUCGGAUUGUAAAGCUCUUUAAGUUGGGAGGAAGGGCAGUAUGUUAAUACCUUGCUGUUUUGACGUUACCAACAGAGUAAGCCCCGGCUAACUUCGUG